AAUGUUGGUGUUGGAAACUUGGUUAACAAGCUCUGUAUGACUGUUGCAAUGGGGUCAUAUUCUCUUAUUAAACCAUUGAGGAACCCAAAAAUCUUCAUAGAUUCUUCAAUGGGUUUUCCUAUUGCACUUAGAGACUCACACAGCGCCUUGAAAUCUCUGCAGUAGACCGAAAAGCUCUUGUCUUUCUUGGAUAUAAGUUGUAAGCUCCGGCGAAGUGAAAACUCUCUAGCUAAGGAGCUUUUGUUGAAGUUCUCGGCAAGAGAAGUCCAGACUUCGCGUGAGGUAGAGAGAUUGUGGACGGUGCCUAAGACUUCUUCAGAGAGAGAGUACCAAAGAUCCAAGAUUUGACCAACUGGUCUGAACAGAACCAUGACUCAAAGAGGGGGUUUGGUUCUUCAACUUAGAGCAGCUCCACGAGUAACAACACGCGUUGCGGGAGGAGAAGGAACAACUUCAUUGAUGAAUCCUUCAAGCUUUUGACCGGACAAAAUAGACUCAAACUGGGUUUUCCAAAGAAUGUAGUUUGAAUCUGUAAGUUUCAAGGUAACAGAACUCAAGAUGUGGACAUUACGAGGGAACGAGUAAGGGUUUUGGUCAUCUGCCAUUGUUUCACUUGUUAAGGUUCACAGUGGCUCUGAUACCAUGUGAAGAACACAAGACAAGGAGAGGUUUAUGAAAACUGAAUUACUUUUCUCAUUAACUUCAACUAGGGUUUUACAAGGUUCUUAAAUACUAGAGAUAAAACAAUCGAGAAGCUUUGAUCUUUACAUCUGUAACCUUAUCCUCGUAGCUGUAAAGUAAUCAGUCAAUUGGUAUAGAGAGUACCGUUAGGAACAGGUUCUGUAGGAUUGUUGUCUGCUCCUUCUCCGUACGUUCUCUGAGAUUCAAAACAGAGGAGAGACGUUGCUUGAACUGUAGCGUGUUCACCUUUUGAUUUGUUUCAUGAUGGACUGAGGAUAUACUGGACCUUGCAAGGCCAUUGUGGUAGUCUCACUAACACUGGACUGGAUAACAUGUCCAAGCUUUGGUAGAGGUGUUCAAAAUUGUUAAUCAAAAUUAAGUUUUGGUUUAUAUAUUUCUUUUAAGUAUGCUUAUCAUCAGUUUCUUUAAAACUAUAUGUUAAAGUCAACUUCACCUCAUUACCUAAAAAACAAGAUCAGAGCAUGAGUUGUUAUUGACUUGAUAAAAAAGAAGACAUUAUACCAAAACAAUGUUAUAAAAAAGAUGGAAUGGAGAUUUGGUCCAAAAGAGUAAUAAGCAGUUUUAGAAAGGGUACAAAUCCAAAGAGAGAGAGAGUUUUUUGAUGCUAUGAAUAUAAACAUCAAAAGUUUAUUCACCCAAACAUUAUUUGACGAAACACAAUACAGUAGACAGCAGAGUACGUUACUUCCCAGACUUAGAGCGGGGUCAGACCAACCACACCUGCGUUAGGACCCACGUAGCUCGUGAGAUGAAACUGCUACUGAUAGUACACUAACUAUCUAAUAAAAAAAACUGAAAACCUUUCUAACGAAAAAGAAUUCUUAUUAUACAUAUGUAAACGCUUGAAACAAUGGCAGAUGAAUCGAAAAAAUUAAUCAUUACCGCAUGCCAGUCUCCCGCCUGCAUUACCAGUGGUCAGACUAAGCUCACACCCACCUAUUAUUUGCCAGAACCAAAUUAAGAAGAAGGAAGAAUAGUACAUUGGAGAAUCAUCAUCAUCAUAUAUAUAAUGAGACACUUUUGCUUUUCCUAAAGCUAUCCACGUGUCUAUAUUUUGAAUACUGUGGGUCCCAUGUUGAAAUCGGAAAUGAAUUUGUGCUUAUUAACUGCAAAUGUGGUUGUAGUAUCUGAAAGCCUGUUUUUUUUUUGAAGGUUUUGGCCCACUUAGGGCCUUUCGCGUUUGGUUUCGCUUACGCUUAAAACGUUGUGUUUUGAGGCCUCUCCAUCUGAUUAGGGUUUCAUCCUUCUCUUUCUUCCUUACAGAACUGGGUCCGCCGUUUUCGCAUGUCAUGAUCUGCAGAACGCAUGUUCAUCUUCUCAUCUCUUCACCUCUCCAGUCGGUCUCUCUUUAUUUCUUUAAAUUCUGGAAUAAAUGUUAUUUGCAUUCAAUCUAUUCUCGGUUACGACGCUUCCAUUUUCUUCUUCUGAGAGCUAUAUAUAUCAGCGGUUUGACAGCAUGCUUGAUCCUCAGAACCACUAUCAGUUUAUCAUUUUCUAAAGUGUUGCAAUAUUCAGAAAGAUGGCUUCCUCCGAUGUUGUCGUCGCUCACUCAGCCUUCGAUGCUCUCCGCCUUGGAAGAUCUGCCCAGUUCAUCGUCGGUUGUCUGCUACGUUUUUGGGACUCUAAGAACAUUAAGAAACAGGGUGAAUUCAUGGGAAUCACUCUGCUCCUCCUUGAUGAGAAGAACUCGGUUAUACAUGGAUUCAUUCCUGCUGGUCGCUCCCCUUAUUACCGUCUGUUACUGAAAGCGGGCUCAGUCGUGAGAGUUUCGCGCUUUGAGAUUGCAAGAUGUACAAAUAUGUACAAGAUAACAGACCAUCCUUUCGUGAUCCGGUUCAUCCCUCAAACAACCAUUGAUGAAGUUGUCGCUUACGCUCCUGUGAUCAACGUUGAGAAAUUCAUGAUACGCAAGUUUGACCCUCUCCAAGCUCUCGCAAACACUAAUUUGGAGCUUCCCGAUGUUGUGGGGCAGAUUCAAUCUGUCCAAGGUUCGGACCUGACGGCCGCUGGAAUGAUGAGUCGAGUUGUUGUCCGUUUAAUGAUUGAACUGAUGGUGGUCGUGUACCUCUCUUUGUGGGAUGAUGCUGCAUCAAUGUUUAGGGGUCUCAUUAGCUCAGGUGAUAGGACACAGUCAGUCAUGGUGGUAGCAACCGUGAAUCCCAAAAUAUUUGGAGUUUUGUAAACUCUAACCUUUGUCAUUGUUUUUUAAUAAUGGUUUGUCAAUUUAUAUACUUACACGAGCUAUAAUGUUGGCCCACUUUGGCUAUCCGAAACACUUUUCAUUCCGCAGGUAACCUGUACCUCAACUCUACCCCAGCGACAAAAUUUUAUUUCGACCCAGCUUUACAAGCUAUCGCGGAGUUUACAGCCAGCUUAAACGCCCCCUGGAGAAGCUUUUCCCUGCAUUGACACCAAAGAUGGCAUAACAAAGAAGGAAGUUGUCUCCAUAGGAGAGCUAAACAAGUUCAUUACCAACUCUGAUGAACAG